rnacentral:lncRNA from 1 species
UUGCAAGAAGGCAUUGCACGUACUUUGACACAAACAAAGUUCUUGGUUUGCAUGCAGCCAAGAGAAUGACAGCUCAGCCACUGAAGUCCUGAUGCUUGUACUCAGGGAGCUGCUGUAUCAGAACCAGAGUUUGGGCUCUCUACCAAAUCCUGGGUCAGAAGCUUGGCUCUGUCAUGUCUUCCUCUGAGGGAUUCAUUGUUCCAUCCACAAAAUGGCUAUUAUUUUUUCUUUAUUUUAUUUUUCUGGGACCAAAUAGAAAUUUCUGAAAUAAGGGCUGCCUUGUAGUUAUGGGUGACAUAGUCUAAUUUAUGGCUCUCAUACUUUUCUGUCUGAUUUAAAAACCAUAUGGAAGCUAUAUUGCUGUGAAAAUACAACUCAUAUGUAUAGAUUGAUAGACAGAUAUGUACAGACACACAAAUUAUUAAUAGUAGCCAUCUCUGGAUGGUGAUAUUUUAAUCCUUUUGUUAUUGACAUUUUCCAACUAUUUUACAAUAAACCCAAAUUAUUUGUAUAAUGAAAAAAAUGCAAAAAAAAAAAAAUCUCAUUCUUGGUGCUCAGAGCAAGGGAACUGUAAGUCAUGGUGAACUGAGAAAAGGAGAGAAAUAAUGGCCUUAGGCAGCCUACAGGACCAUCCACCCUAUGAGGCCCUCAGGGUGUGGCUACCUUGGACUUUGUUGUGUAUAUGUGUGUUCAUGUGUAUGUGCGUGUGUGUGUGUGUGUGUGUGUGUGUAUUUAUAUGGGCAUGCAUGUAUGUGUGUUGUGUGCAUGUUAUAUGUAUGGGCAUGUGUGUGUGUAUGAGUAUUCAUGAGUGUGGGCAUGUGUUAUGUUUAUGUAUAUGUGUGGUAUGUUAUAUGCACGUGCUUGUGUGUAUGCAUAUUCAUGUGUGUUACUGUUCCAGACGCUCAAAACCAUCCCAUGCUGCCCCCUGGGACACGAGCCCAGCACUCUUCAUCUGGGAUCUCUCCCUCUUCACUUGGGUUUCUAUCUUCUGCAAAGAGUUGCUUCUGAGGCAAUGA